rnacentral:rRNA from 1 species
AUUGAACGCUGGCGGCAGGCUUAACACAUGCAAGUCGAGCGAGCGGCGGACGGGUGAGUAAUGUCUGGGAAACUGACUGAUGGAGGGGGAUAACUACUGGAAACGGUAGCUAAUACCGCAUACCAUCAGAUGUGCCCAGAAGGGAUUAGCUAGUAGGUGGGGUAAUGGCUCACCUAGGCGACGAUCCCUAGCUGGUCUGAGAGGAUGACCAGCCACACUGGAACUGAGACACGGUCCAGUUCCCUACGGGAGACAGCAGUGGGGAACAUUGCAGCAUGGGCGCGAGCCUGAUGGGGACAUGCCGCUUGUGUGAAGAAGGCCUUCGGGUUGUAAAGCACUUUCAGCGAGGAGGCGUUACCCGCAGAAGAAGCACCGGCUAACUCCGUGCCAGCCGCCGCGGUAAUUC